rnacentral:rRNA from 1 species
AUUCCUACGGGAGGCAGCAGUGAGGAAUAUUCGGCAAUGGGGGCAACCCUGACCGAGCAACGCCGCGUGGAGGAUGACGGUUUUCGGAUUGUAAACUCCUUUUCUCAGGGAAGAGCGAGGACGGUACCUGAGGAAUAAGUCACGGCUAACUACGUGCCAGCAGCCGCGGUAAUAAU